UACGUAGGGUGCGAGCGUUAAUCGGAUUUACUGGGCGUAAAGGGCGCGUAGGCGGCCGCGCAAGUCUGGUGUGAAAGCCCAGGGCUUAACCCUGGAAGGGCACUGGAAACUGUGCGGCUUGAGUGCCGGAGAGGAGGGGGGAAUUCCCGGUGUAGCGGUGAAAUGCGUAGAUAUCGGGAGGAAUACCGGUGGCGAAGGCGCCCCUCUGGACGGUAACUGACGCUCAUGCACGAAAGCGUGGGGAGCAAACAGG
rnacentral:rRNA from 1 species